rnacentral:rRNA from 2 species
UACGGAGGGUGCAAGCGUUACUCGGAAUCACUGGGCGUAAAGAGUGCGCAGGCGGGGUGGUAAGUCAGAUGUGAAAUCCUGUAGCUUAACUACAGAACUGCAUUUGAAACUAUCACUCUAGAGUAUGGGAGAGGUAGGUGGAAUUCUUGGUGUAGGGGUAAAAUCCGUAGAGAUCAAGAGGAAUACUCAUUGCGAAGGCGACCUACUGGAACAUUACUGACGCUCAUGCACGAAAGCGUGGGGAGCAAACAGG